UACGUAGGCAGCAAGCGUUGUUCGGAAUUACUGGGCGUAAAGAGUGUGUAGGCGGUGCUCCAAGUCUGGUGUGAAAUCUCCCGGCUUAACUGGGAGGGUGCAUUAGAAACUGGAAUGCUAGAGGAUGGGAGAGGUAAGCGGAAUUCCUGGUGUAGCGGUGAAAUGCGUAGAUAUCAGGAGGAACACCUGUGGCGUAGACAGCUUACUGGACCAUUUCUGACGCUGAGACACGAAAGCGUGGGUAGCAAACAGG
rnacentral:rRNA from 1 species